UACGGGGGGGGCAAGCGUUGUUCGGAAUUACUGGGCGUAAAGGGUUUGUAGGUGGCUUGUUAAGUCAGACGUGAAAUCCCUCAGCUUAACUGGGGAACUGCGUCUGAUACUGGCGAGCUUGAGUGCAGGAGAGGAACGCGGAAUUCCAGGUGUAGCGGUGAAAUGCGUAGAUAUCUGGAGGAACACCGGUGGCGAAGGCGGCGUUCUGGACCGCAACUGACACUGAGAAACGAAAGCCAGGGUAGCAAACGGG
rnacentral:rRNA from 1 species